rnacentral:rRNA from 1 species
GACGUAGGGCGCGAGCGUUGUCCGGAUUUACUGGGCGUAAAGAGCGCGCAGGCGGUCGUGCAAGUCGCGUGUGAAAGCCCCCGGCUCAACUGGGGAGGGUCACGCGAUACUGCUCGACUCGAAGGCAGGAGAGGGAAGUGGAAUUCCCGGUGUAGUGGUGAAAUGCGUAGAUAUCGGGAGGAACACCAGUGGCGAAGGCGGCGACCUGGGCAGAUACUGACACUGAGGUGCGAAAGCGUGGGGAGCAAACAGG